UCUUGGACUACCCAUUUGCUUUGCAUGGUGGCGAUAGCAAGAUCGUACAAUAAAAAAUAUAAAUAAAUAUUGGUGAUUCCCAAAAAUUAUACAAUGUAGAAUCAUUACGAAAAUAAACAUAAUAGGCAUCUCAGGUUGUAGAAUCGAUGGCAAAUUGUUGUGUUGGAAUAUGUUGCUAGCUUACAAACAUAAAAUAAAAAGAGGAGCCAGUUCUUGUGACAAAUUAGAAGUUUGUCCUUGAAGAACCAAAUAAAAAAUUUAGUAGCCUUUGUGAAAUUUUUCACGCACCGCCGCUUCACUUGCUUCCCUUCAAACUUGGUCGUACACCUGCAGAUAAAUAACCAUAGAAUACUCAACUGAAAAUAAUUGCUAAUGGAAUCAAAAUAGAAAUAAUAAUAAGCCACAAAAUAAUUAAGGGAAAGAUAAAUAGAACACACCUAGAGUUGUUGAAUUGGUACUAUAAGGUGGGAGAUUUGGUAGUGCUCACUAUUGUAAGGAAAAUGUUGGCCCAAAUAAAUUAGAUCAUACCAUUUUCAGCAAAAAGAUUUACGCUGCGUUUGGAUGUCUGUAUCGGAGGCCUCCGUAUUGAAUUAGUUUCAAUUCCAAUUCGGUGAGGAAA
rnacentral:lncRNA from 1 species